rnacentral:rRNA from 1 species
UACGGGGGGAGCAAGCGUUGUUCGGAUUUACUGGGCGUAAAGGGCUCGUAGGCGGCCAACUAAGUCAGACGUGAAAUCCCUCGGCUUAACCGGGGAACUGCGUCUGAUACUGGAUGGCUGAAUCCGGGAGAGGGAUGCGGAAUUCCAGGUGUAGCGGUGAAAUGCGUAGAGAUGGUGGAGGAACACCGAUGGCGAAGGCAGCC